rnacentral:rRNA from 1 species
GACGCUUCUUUUCCCACCGGAGCUUGCUCCACCGGGAAAAGAGGAGUGGCGAACGGGUGAGUAACACGUGGGUAACCUGCCCAUCAGAAGGGGAUAACACUUGGAAACAGGUGCUAAUACCGUAUAACAAUCGAAACCGCAUGGUUUCGUUUUGAAAGGCGCUUUACGGUGCCGCUGAUGGAUGGACCCGCGGUGCAUUAGCUAGUUGGUGAGGUAACGGCUCACCAAGGCCACGAUGCAUAGCCGACCUGAGAGGGUGAUCGGCCACAUUGGGACUGAGACACGGCCCAAACUCCUACGGGAGGCAGCAGUAGGGAAUCUUCGGCAAUGGACGAAAGUCUGACCGAGCAACGCCGCGUGAGUGAAGAAGGUUUUCGGAUCGUAAAACUCUGUUGUUAGAGAAGAACAAGGGUGAGAGUAACUGUUCACCCCUUGACGGUAUCUAACCAGAAAGCCACGGCUAACUACGUGCCAGCAGCCGCGGUAAUACGUAGGUGGCAAGCGUUGUCCGGAUUUAUUGGGCGUAAAGCGAGCGCAGGCGGUUUCUUAAGUCUGAUGUGAAAGCCCCCGGCUCAACCGGGGAGGGUCAUUGGAAACUGGGAGACUUGAGUGCAGAAGAGGAGAGUGGAAUUCCAUGUGUAGCGGUGAAAUGCGUAGAUAUAUGGAGGAACACCAGUGGCGAAGGCGGCUCUCUGGUCUGUAACUGACGCUGAGGCUCGAAAGCGUGGGGAGCAAACAGGAUUAGAUACCCUGGUAGUCCACGCCGUAAACGAUGAGUGCUAAGUGUUGGAGGGUUUCCGCCCUUCAGUGCUGCAGCUAACGCAUUAAGCACUCCGCCUGGGGAGUACGACCGCAAGGUUGAAACUCAAAGGAAUUGACGGGGGCCCGCACAAGCGGUGGAGCAUGUGGUUUAAUUCGAAGCAACGCGAAGAACCUUACCAGGUCUUGACAUCCUUUGACCACUCUAGAGAUAGAGCUUCCCCUUCGGGGGCAAAGUGACAGGUGGUGCAUGGUUGUCGUCAGCUCGUGUCGUGAGAUGUUGGGUUAAGUCCCGCAACGAGCGCAACCCUUAUUGUUAGUUGCCAUCAUUUAGUUGGGCACUCUAGCAAGACUGCCGGUGACAAACCGGAGGAAGGUGGGGAUGACGUCAAAUCAUCAUGCCCCUUAUGACCUGGGCUACACACGUGCUACAAUGGGAAGUACAACGAGUCGCGAAGUCGCGAGGCUAAGCUAAUCUCUUAAAGCUUCUCUCAGUUCGGAUUGUAGGCUGCAACUCGCCUACAUGAAGCCGGAAUCGCUAGUAAUCGCGGAUCAGCACGCCGCGGUGAAUACGUUCCCGGGCCUUGUACACACCGCCCGUCACACCACGAGAGUUUGUAACACCCGAAGUCGGUGAGGUAACCUUUU